rnacentral:rRNA from 1 species
CCCUUAGAUGUCCUGGGCCGCACGCGUGCUACACUGACGCAUACAGCGAGCACUUUCCAGUUCCGAGAGGCUACUGGUAAUCAUCAAUAUGCGUCGUGAUGGGGAUAGAUCUUUGGAAUUCUGGAUCUUGAACGAGGAAUGCCUAGUAAUCGCAGGUCAUUAGCCUGCGAUGAUUAAGUCCCUGCCCUUUGUACACACCGCCCGUCGCUACUACCGAUUUCGAGUGGUCAGGUGAAUCUUUCGGACUGUGGGCGCCCUUGAGGUGUUCGCGGAAAGUCAGGUAAAUCUUAUCACGUAGAGGAAGUAAAAGUCGUAACA